rnacentral:tRNA from 1 species
AUAUAUAUAGUUUAAAUAAAAACAUUAUAUUUUCAUUAUAAUAAUUAAAAUUAAUUUUUAUAUAUAUA